rnacentral:tRNA from 2 species
AAGUAAUGAAGUAAAAUUACAAUUAGUUUCGACCUAACUUAAGAGUCAAAGAACUCCUUACUUA